GUGUGCGUUGAAAUUGGAGUGAAAAUGUGUGUGCCAUUCUAAUGACUGCUCUAAUCGGCUCUUUUCAAUGAGGGGGUGAAGCUGGCUGAGGAGGGUAAUGGGGAAUCCUUUCAAUCAACCAUUACACUCAUUUCUGAGAGAAGAUGAAGAGCAGAAGGAGCCCAUUAAUCCGGAGGAGAUAAACAGUGUGUGAGCAAUCAAGAAACCAGCAUGCUGAAAACCCCCAGGUGUCUUUCAGGAAUUUCAUGAAUCUCACAAAAUCUUAGCGCUUACAUACAUAAUUCGUUCUCAUCAUUUUCGAGAGAAGCUCAUCAAACCACCAAAAAAUAGAUGAGAAACUCAGUCUGUCACCGAGGAGUUUGGAAGGGGUAAAGACAGGAGGAUGAUCUAUUUUGUGUAUUCUGCAUGCUCCUUAUUUUACUUCCUUAUUCUCAGAAUAAACUUAACCUGCAACACAGAGAUCUAGCCUUAAUUCUCAAUAUUUAAGGAGGCAUUUGUUAAACUGAGAGCAGAGUUAAACUUUUGUAUACAGUAUUUGUCUAUAUUAUAUGUAAACCCUUUUGUCGGAAACAACUGGAGGUACAACACAGGAAGUUAGUAGGCAGAUGUUAUGAUUUGCAUAUUACUAACGAGACGGCAAUCAGAUGUCUAACUGGAGACUAAUUUGAAGUUCAAAUGCAUUUGCUUAAAAUCUUAUCAGGAUACAAUUCAGAUGCAAGAAGCCUGAAAUGACUAGGUGGACGUCAAACUUGGUAUAAUAUUAAUAUUUCAUGAACACCAGCACAAUUUUAUAUUCAGGUCAGAAAGACAUUCACUUUUUCUUGUAAAAGACUGGCCACCUCUAUUGCUUGCGAUUCUGGAAGAGGUUUAAAUCCACCCCAUGAUUCCUGAAAAACCUGUUCAAAUCCCAAUCAAGGCACAAUCCUAUUAUCGCAAAGAUCAUUUCAUGUUUUAAAAUAUUUUCCGUCCUUAAAGGUGAUCGUCUGAAAAUAUUUCUAAUCGUAAAAUUAAAAAGGUGUAUUUGUAAUCAUAAAAUUGGUAAAUCGUAAAAAAAAAAAAGACUCAGUCGUUCAGUAAAUAUGAUGAAACAAAUCUGUGAUUUUUAUAUAAAACAACAUGUACAUGUACAAAUUUAAGUGCCGUAAAUGGUCUCCGCUGUGUAAGGAUGCAUAAACCCACUGGGUAAAGGAUGUACUGAACAGGUAUAUGUGAACACAGGCCAAGAGGCACCUUCUUCCA